CAGAGUUAUCCAACUCACAACCCAUGUGAACAUUAUCUCUUUGUUGCCUCGGCGGUCAGGCUACCCGGACCUCGCGCCCCGGCCCGCCGGCCACCUAAACUCUUGUUAUCUUAGUUGAUUACUCUGAGUAAUCUUUGAAUAAAUCA
rnacentral:misc_RNA from 1 species